rnacentral:rRNA from 1 species
GUGGCUAGGCGCAGCUACACAUGCAGUCGAGCGGCAGCACGGGAAGCUUGCUUCCUGGUGGCGAGCGGCGGACGGGUGAGUAAUGCAUAGGAAUCUGCCCGAUAGUGGGGGAUAACCUGGGGAAACCCAGGCUAAUACCGCAUACGUCCUACGGGAGAAAGCAGGGGCUCUUCGGACCUUGCGCUAUCGGAUGAGCCUAUGUCGGAUUAGCUGGUUGGUGAGGUAAUGGCUCACCAAGGCGACGAUCCGUAGCUGGUCUGAGAGGAUGAUCAGCCACAUCGGGACUGAGACACGGCCCGAACUCCUACGGGAGGCAGCAGUGGGGAAUAUUGGACAAUGGGCGCAAGCCUGAUCCAGCCAUGCCGCGUGUGUGAAGAAGGCCCUCGGGUUGUAAAGCACUUUCAGUGGGGAAGAAAGCCUGGUGGUUAAUACCCGUCAGGAAGGACAUCACCCACAGAAGAAGCACCGGCUAACUCCGUGCCAGCAGCCGCGGUAAUACGGAGGGUGCGAGCGUUAAUCGGAAUUACUGGGCGUAAAGCGCGCGUAGGUGGCUUGAUAAGCCGGUUGUGAAAGCCCCGGGCUCAACCUGGGAACGGCAUCCGGAACUGUCAGGCUAGAGUGCAGGAGAGGAAGGUAGAAUUCCCGGUGUAGCGGUGAAAUGCGUAGAGAUCGGGAGGAAUACCAGUGGCGAAGGCGGCCUUCUGGACUGACACUGACACUGAGGUGCGAAAGCGUGGGUAGCAAACAGGAUUAGAUACCCUGGUAGUCCACGCCGUAAACGAUGUCGACUAGCCGUUGGGUCCUUCGCGGACUUUGUGGCGCAGUUAACGCGAUAAGUCGACCGCCUGGGGAGUACGGCCGCAAGGUUAAAACUCAAAUG